rnacentral:rRNA from 1 species
AAAAGCUUUCUUUAAUUGAAUAAUUGAAUUUAAUUUUUUAGUGCAAAAGCAAAAAUAAAAAUUAGGGACAAGAAGACCCUAUGAAUUUUUUAUUAAAUUUUAUAAAACUUUAUAUAAAAUUUAAUUUAAUUGGGGUGAUGGAAAAAGAAUAAAUAUCUUUUUUUUAAAAAAAAAUUGGUUCCGUUUUUAGCGAUUAAAUGAAAAAAANACUCUAGGGAUAACAGCGUAAUAAUUUUGGAUAGUUCAUAUAGAUAAAAUAGUUUGCGACCUCGAUGUUGGAUUAGGAUUCUUUUUUGGUGAANAAGUUAAAAAAA